GUCGAGAAUCUUUCACAAUGGGGGCAACCCUGAUGGAGCGACGCCGCGUGGAGGAUAAGGUCUUCGGAUUGUAAACUCCUGUCAUGCGUGAACAAGGUUGCUUGGUUAAUACCUGGGCAAAUUGAUGGUAACGCAAGAGGAAGAGACGGCUAACUCUGUGCCAGCAGCCGCGGUAAUACAGAGGUCUCAAGCGUUGUUCGGAAUCACUGGGCGUAAAGGGUGCGUAGGUGGCGUGGUAAGUCAGAAGUGAAAGCCCGGGGCUCAACCUCGGAACUGCAUACGAUACUGCCAUGCUAGAGUACUGGAGAGGUGACUAGAAUUCUCGGUGUAGCAGUGAAAUGCGUAGAUAUCGAGAGGAAUACCAAAGGCGUAGGCAGGUCACUGGACAGUUACUGACACUGAGGCACGAAGGCCAGGGGAGCGAACGGGAUUAGAAACCCGAGUAGUCC
rnacentral:rRNA from 1 species